ensembl:misc_RNA Metazoa_SRP Metazoan signal recognition particle RNA
GCCAGAUGCGGUGGCAUGCCUGUAGUCCCAGCUACUCGGGAGGCUGAGGUGGGAGGAUCACUUGAGCCCAGGAGUUCUGGACUGUAGUGUGCUAUGUCCACCGGGUGUCCACACUAAGUUCAGCAUCAAUAUGGUGACCUCCCAAGAGCAGGGGACCACCAGGUUGCCUAAGAAGGGGUGCACUAGCCGAGGUCAGAAACGGAAUAGGUCAAAACUCCCAUGCUGAACAGUAGUGGAAUCAUGCCUGUGAAUAGCCACUGCACUGCAGCCUGGGCAACAUAGCGAGACCCCGUCUCA